rnacentral:misc_RNA from 1 species
AAGACUAUAGACCUGCGGAGUACCUGCGGAGGGAUCAUUAGUGAACGCCCUCACGGGCUUAUAACUAUUCCAAACCUCUGUGAACCGUGCCCUUCGGGGCUAUUUUACAAACAUGGUGUAAUGAACGUCAUACAUCAUAACAAAACAAAACUUUUAGCAAUGGAUCUCU